rnacentral:rRNA from 1 species
AGCGUAGACGGUGUGGCAAGUCUGAUGUGAAAGGCAUGGGCUCAACCUGUGGACUGCAUUGGAAACUGUCAUACUUGAGUGCCGGAGGGGUAAGCGGAAUUCCUAGUGUAGCGGUGAAAUGCGUAGAUAUUAGGAGGAACACCAGUGGCGAAGGCGGCUUACUGGACGGUAACUGACGUUGAGGCUGAAAGCGUGGGGAGUAAACA